rnacentral:rRNA from 1 species
AAUGCUUGGGAACAUGCCUUUAGGUGGGGGACAACCAUUGGAAACGAUGGCUAAUACCGCAUAAUGUCUACGGACCAAAGGGGGCUUCGGCUCUCGCCUUUAGAUUGGCCCAAGUGGGAUUAGCUAGUUGGUGAGGUAAUGGCUCACCAAGGCGACGAUCCCUAGCUGGUUUGAGAGGAUGAUCAGCCACACUGGAACUGAGACACGGUCCAGACUCCUACGGGAGGCAGCAGUGGGGAAUAUUGCACAAUGGGCGCAAGCCUGAUGCAGCCAUGCCGCGUGUGUGAAGAAGGCCUUCGGGUUGUAAAGCACUUUCAGUAAGGAGGAAAGGUUAGUAGUUAAUACCUGCUAGCUGUGACGUUACUUACAGAAGAAGCACCGGCUAACUCCGUGCCAGCAGCCGCGGUAAUACGGAGGGUGCGAGCGUUAAUCGGAAUUACUGGGCGUAAAGCGUACGCACGCGGUUUGUUAAGCGAGAUGUGAAAGCCCCGGGCUCAACCUGGGAACUGCAUUUCGAACUGGCAAACUAGAGUGUGAUAGAGGGUGGUAGAAUUUCAGGUGUAGCGGUGAAAUGCGUAGAGAUCUGAAGGAAUACCGAUGGCGAAGGCAGCCACCUGGGUCAACACUGACGCUCAUGUACUAAAGCGUGGGGAGCAAACGGGAUUAGAUACCCCGGUAGUCCACGCCGUAAACGAUGUCUACUAGGAGUUCGGUCUUUCGGGACUGUCUUCCAAAGCUAACGCAUUAAUAGACCGCCUGGGGAGUACGGCCGCAAGGUUAAAGUCAAUGAAUUGACGGGGGCCCCACAACGGUGGAGCAUGUGGUUUAAUUCCAUGCAACGCGAGAACUUACCUACCCUUGACAUCCAAAACUUGCUAGAGAUAGUUGGUGCCUUCGGCUACUUCUGAAACGGGUGCUGCAUGGCUGUCGUCACUCCAUGUUGUGCAGUCGUUGGGGUUAGUGCGGCACCACGCAACCCUUAUUCUUACUUGC